rnacentral:rRNA from 1 species
AAACUAACUAGGAUUCCCUUAGUAACGGCGAGUGAACCGGGAUGAGCUCAAAUUUAAAAUCUGGCGUCUUUCAGGCGUCCGAGUUGUAAUCUAUAGAGGCGUUUUCCGCGCCGGACCGCGUCCAAGUCUCUUGGAAUAGAGUAUCAAAGAGGGUGACAAUCCCGUACUUGACGCGACAACCGGUGCUCUGUGAUACGUUCUCAAUGAGUCGAGUUGUUUGGGAAUGCAGCUCUAAAUGGGUGGUAAAUUCCAUCUAAGGCUAAAUAUUGGCGAGAGACCGAUAGCGAACAAGUACCGUGAGGGAAAGAUGAAAAGCACUUUGGAAAGAGAGUUAAACAGCACGUGAAAUUGUUAAAAGGGAAACGAUUGAAGUCAGUCGUGUGAAAGGUAUUCAGCCGUCUCUGGCGGUGUAUUUGCCUUUCACGGGUCAACAUCAGUUUGAUCCGGUAGAAAAAGGCGGGAGGAAGGUGGCACCCUCGGGUGUGUUAUAGCCUCCUGUCAUAUGUGCCGGACCAGACUGAGGAACGCAGCUUGCCGCAAGGCCGGGGUUCGCCCACGUACAAGCUUAGGAUGUUGACAUAAUGGCUUUAAACGAC